UCGCAGACGGCCUGAAACUCGGGAACGUUUCCCUCCGGAUCAGAAACCUGAAGCUCUCUGAUGACGGGAGAUACAGAUGUAUCAUCCCACACCUGCCGUUAGAUACCACCAUAAAGCUGGAAGUCUUUGAACCGAUCUCUGAUGACACUUUGACGACCACACAGUUUCCAGGAAAUCUCCAAACUCCAGAUCCAAAAAAUGAGACUGAUGUCAAAGUUGGUCAGCACAAUUGGAGCUCGUGGGUCGUGGUUCUGUCAAUCUGCAUCUUAGUGGUCGUGGCUGUUGGAGCUGGUGGAUGUUUCUUGAAAAAUAAAUAUCAGAGACGACAU